ACCCCCGCCCCACACCGGGGCCACCCCACAUCCGCCACCUUUAACGUGCCCGGGGGUGCCCCAGGUGAAGGGUGGCUCCACCUCGUCCCUCCCCUCGGCUCCUUCCCUGCGCCCGUCAGCGGGGAUUAGCGAAGGGACCAGCCCCGGGCUCGGGGACGCGGGGACGGGGCCACCGCCACGACCCGCUCCUGAUGGAGGAGGCUUGAGGGGGGGCAUCCACCAUCCCUGCGGUGGGUGAGGACACGGGGGGACCCCCCCCUGCACCCCACCAGCCCCCGGGGGCACCAUGAAGGACCGGCUGGAGCAGCUCAAGGCGAAGCAGGACGCGGACGAUGACACGGAGGAGCUGGAGAUCGCUGUGGACAACACGGCGUUCAUGGACGAGUUCUUCUCAGAGAUCGAGGAGACCCGGCAGAACAUCGACAAGAUCUCGGAGAACGUGGAGGAGGCCAAGAAGCUCUACAGCAUCAUCCUGUCAGCGCCCAUCCCCGAGCAGAAGACCAAAGAUGACCUGGAGCAAUUGACAGCAGAGAUCAAGAAAAUGGCCAACAGCGUCCGCAACAAGCUGAAGAGUAUGGAGCGGAACAUUGAGCAGGAUGAGGCACGUUCCUCUGCUGACCUGCGGAUACGCAAGUCCCAGCACUCGGUGCUGUCCCGCAAGUUCGUGGACGUGAUGACCAAGUACAAUGAGGCGCAGGUGGAUUUCCGGGAGCGCAGCAAGGGCCGGAUCCAGCGGCAGCUCGAGAUCACCGGUAAGAACACGACGGACGAGGAGCUGGAGGAGAUGCUGGAGAGCGGGAACCCGUCCAUCUUCACCGCAGGGAUCAUGGACUCGCAGAUGUCGAAGCAGGCGCUGAGCGAGAUCGAGGGGCGGCACAAGGACAUCGUGCGCCUGGAGAGCAGCAUCAAGGAGCUGCACGACAUGUUCGUGGACAUCGCCAUGCUGGUGGAGAACCAGGGCGCCAUGAUCGACCGCAUCGAGAACAACAUGGACCAGUCCGUGGGCUUCGUGGAGCGCGCCGUGACCGACACCAAGAAAGCCGUGAAGUACCAGAGCGAGGCCAGGAGGACAUUCCCGACAUCCCAGCGCCGACAUCUCCCAUCGGGACCCUUCCCAGCGCCGCAUCCCGGUUCCCUCCUGCCCCUGCUCCUCCCGGCUCCGCUGCCAUCCCCUCCAUGGAGGGAUCCCAGCGCUGGAAUUCCCCUUCCACACCAUUCCCUGCCCUCCUGUCCUCGUGUUCCCAUGGGAAGGGGAUGGACUCAACUCUUUGUACUCCCUUUGCUGCUCCAUCAACUUCUGGUCCCCAUCACCAUGGGGAUGGAGCAGGCGGUGGCUGGAUCCUCAUCCAUGUGGGCAUCCCGGAGGAUGAGGGAUGGGAAUAUUGGGUUUGGUGGCACUGGUGGGUCUGCCCAUGCUUCGUUCUCCACCAUCCAUGGCCGAUGGAGCUGGGGACACUGUCCCCUCUCAGCCUUGAUGUCCCUGAUGGUGUCACUGGGCCAGGAGGACACACUCAUUGUGCUUACCCAAUUCCCACUGGAAUAAAGCUGAUUCCUGCUCCUCUCCGUGCACAACGUGAUGCCGGGGGUGGGGACAGCACCGGGUGCUGGAUGAGGCUCUGGGACCAUCCCUUGGGUUUGGGUGCAGAUGUGACACCCCAACCCCUGCCAGGCCAGAGCAGAGCAUCAUCCCUCCUGGCUCUGGUGGGACACUGCCCCAUCCCUGGCAGUGUCCAAUGCUUGGAGAAGGGCUUGGAGCAACCUGCUCCAGUGGAAGGUGUCCCUGCUCCGGGCUUGGAACCGGAUGAGCUUUAAGCUCCCUUCAUCCCAAACCAUUCCAUGAUGGCUUUGGGUAAGUCACGGUGAUGGGGCAUCACCAGCACAACCGCAUCCCGGUGCUACGCAUCCAGCUCCCGCCUUCCCUGCUGCCACCCCUCGUCCCCCUGCCCCGUGCCACCCUCACGGUCCCUCUCUUGUCCUGCAGAAGAAGAUCAUGAUCAUGAUCUGCUGCAUCAUCCUCGCCAUCAUCCUGGCUGCCAGCAUCGGGAGCAUCUUCGCCUGAGCCCUCAGGUGGCCUUUCCCGCUCCCGCCCUGCGCCUGGAUGAUCCCACUUGUGGCUCCAGCCAUUGGAGCCACCCCGGGGACCUGCCAAGCCCUUGUCCCCAGAGCCACGAGGACAUCCCUGUGCUGCAGCCCAUGUAUCCCAGAGGAAUGGAGACCACCCGCCCUGCAUCCCAGUUCCCUCCCAUCCCUGGGGGAAUGCUCUGAGGUCCCCACUUUGCUCCUCACCCUGCUUGGCCCAUGGUCGGCAGCGGCACAGAGGAGCCACGGUCCCCCCUGGGGUGACACGAAGGCUCCUGCCUUGCUCAGAGCAGGAGGAGAAGCUUCUCCCACCGCCCGCAGCCGUGGCUGGGGGUGACUUCUCCAUCCCGGAGGCUCCCGGGAUGCGCAGCCCCGCGCCGGAGCCUCCUCCUGAAUAAAGACAUCACCCGA